CAGCCGCCGCGGGAAUACGGAGGGUGCAAGCGUUAAUCGGAAUUACUGGGCGUAAAGCGCACGCAGGCGGUCUGUCAAGUCGGAUGUGAAAUCCCCGGGCUCAACCUGAGAACUGCAUUCGAAACUGGCAGGCUAGAGUCUUGUAGAGGGGGGUAGAAUUCCAGGUGUAGCGGUGAAAUGCGUAGAGAUCUGGAGGAAUACCGGUGGCGAAGGCGGCCCCCUGGACAAAGACUGACGCUCAGGUGCGAAAGCGUGGGGAGCAAACAGGAUUAGAUACCCCUGUAGUCCCUGUCUCUUAUAC
rnacentral:rRNA from 1 species